AGAGGAGCUAUCCCACGCUGAAGGUCAGGAAGGGCGGUGGUGAGGAGAUACCCCUCAUCCAAGGUAAGGAGCAGCAGCUGCGCUUUGCUGGAGCAGCCGUGAAGAGAUACCCAACGCCCAAGCCUGAGAGAGGAAAUCUGUUCAAGGUCUGAGGAGCCACACUGGCCUCACUGCGAGAUGAGUCUAAUUGCUGGGUCUACAGUGAGAUGCUGUUGUCCUCAUCCUCAGGACUUCGAUGAAAAACUGACCCGGCUAUUGUGACUCUGUGUGGACUACUCCCCGUGGGGGAGAAAGACUCUCACCAUCUUCCUGUCCUGCAUGCCAGUGCACCAGAAAGACCUCUGCUAGUAAACAUUACCGUACAACUGACUGCCCAUGACCCUCCCUGGGCUGUGUUGAAUGGAAUAGGCUGUCUUCAGGACACACAAGUCCAACUAGUGGGAUUAAAUGUUUUUUGUUUGGAAAGACCUAAUGGGUCCACCGCUAAUGGUACUCAAUAUAACAC
ensembl:lncRNA